rnacentral:pre_miRNA from 1 species
AAUGUGGUGCUAAAGUGCUUAUAGUGCAGGUAGUUGUUUGUGUAUUCUACUGCAUUAUGAGCACUUAAAGUACUUCUAG